rnacentral:rRNA from 1 species
CCUACGGGUGGCUGCAGUGAGGAAUAUUGGUCAAUGGCCGGAAGGCUGAACCAGCCAAGCCGCGUGAAGGACGAAGGUGCCAAGCAUUGUAAACUUCUUUUGUCAAGGGACAAAAUCAGGCUCGAGAGCCUGACCGAGGGUACUUGAAGAAAAAGCAUCGGCUAACUCCGUGCCAGCAGCCGCGGUAAUACGGAGGAUGCGAGCGUUAUCCGGAUUUAUUGGGUUUAAAGGGUGCGUAGGCGGUCCGUUAAGUCAGCGGUAAAAUUGCGGGGCUCAACCCCGUCGAGCCGUUGAAACUGGCAGACUUGAGUUGGCGAGAAGUACGCGGAAUGCGCGGUGUAGCGGUGAAAUGCAUAGAUAUCGCGCAGAACUCCGAUUGCGAAGGCAGCGUACCGGCGCCAGACUGACGCUGAGGCACGAAAGCGUGGGGAUCGAACAGGAUUAGAUACCCCUGUAGUC